CGAUCUCUUCUUCCGGACUCAGGGUGAGCUCGCGCUUCGCUGGUUGCCAAGUAACGGGAGGAAAGCGCGCGCUGGAGAGGAAGAGGGUGCAGCGUUUUGGCAGCCGUGGCUUCCAGUUGCCUUUGGCGAAGUCUUCUCUUCAUGCCGGCUCUUCUCUUCUCGAAAGACUUCCUGUCAAAAUGACAACCAGCUCUCAACCUGGUCAUUUAUGAAGAGGAAAUAAAAGAUACAGAUUGGAGACAGAUUAUCCUGCAGAAAAUCUAAGUAGUUACCAAGAGCUAAUACAAGAUGGCACAUAAUCAAAUGACAGAAGAAGUAAACUGAUCUUUAUUUGUAAAGAUCAGCUUUGACUCAACACUUACCUGGAACAAAAGGCUAUAACCAUUCUAGAACUAUACCAGGCAGCUAUAUGGAUUCAUCUGUCCACACUUAUCCACCUGAUUCAGAUGAAAAGCUUGCAAGCCAUCAAUAUGUGACUUGCAGAGAUCAUAACAAAAAACUGAAUUAAGUGCAUACUGUUAUAGAUGACUGUCUUUCUCUCUGAAAUGCAUCUCUGGUCUGUGAAAAGCAUCUUAUAUGUUGAA